rnacentral:misc_RNA from 1 species
CUGAAAUUGAAAUCCUAUAGCUUGAUUAUUCUCUCAUAAAUUGGCUCUAUUCAUUGCAACACCACCAAAUUUAAUAAGAAACCUUGGAGAAGAUUCAGAACUUGGGACCUCCAAGCUAGUCAAUCCUUCCAAGUAAUAGUUGAUAUGCAUAUAAUGACCCAAAUCUUUCCACUUUUCAGCCUUAACUACCAGCCCAUAAAGACCCUUCCAUUAAAUAUCUGCGUAUGCCUACCAGAAAAUGCAAUGCUAUAAAUCCAGCCCAAACCGCAGUCAAAGUGACACCUUACCAAAUUUUCACACAACCAUAUAUUACUUCCGAUGCUAACUGAUGCAAUUACCACCACAUUCAACCGAUUUCUUUUCAUCUUCUGUAAAGAGAUACUCCGAGAGAAGGAAUUUGAAGCUAUUUAGGUUUUUCUUUUCAUCUUCCAUAUCUCGCAAAAAAUUGGAAAUUGGAAGAAGGAAAAAAAGAAAAGAAAACAUAGAGAGAGAGAGAGAGAGAG